AUCUUUGCGCUUGGGGCAAUGACGCAGCUAGUGAGGUUUUAACCGAGGCGCGUCUAUUGCUGGUUGAAAACUAUUUCAAACCCCUCUUAGGCCUUGGUUUCGCCUCGCCUUUGAGAAUUUCUGGAAGGGUUCCUUCGGGUAAAACU